GGGGUGAAGGCUGAUGGAAAAGUACAGCUUGGAAUCAAGGAGUUUGAAGAGCUCGGUCCAAAAUCAUCCCAAGAACCUGAAAUCUCUAUCACUGACUAUGUUCUGAGGGAUGCCCCAAUACUUCACCACAUGCUUCAAGAAAAGUCGAGCCGCCUCCUUUGCUGAGCAAUGUAGGGGUGCAAGAAUAAAGAUGUCAUAUUUGAAUAACUAAUCCACCACCACAA
rnacentral:lncRNA from 1 species